GACGAACGCUGGCGGCGUGCUUAACACAUGCAAGUCGAACGGAAAGGCCCUGCUUGCUGGGUGCUCGAGUGGCGAACGGGUGAGUAACACGUGGGUGAUCUGCCCCUUACUUUGGGAUAAGCCUGGGAAACUGGGACUAAUACCGGAUAGGACAAUGCUGUAGGUGGUGUGGUGGAAAGAUUAGUUUCGGUAAGGGAUGAGCUCGCGGCCUAUCAGCUUGUUGGUGGGGUAGUGGCCUACCAAGGCGUCGACGGGUAGCCGGCCUGAGGGGGUGGGCGGCCACGUUGGGACUCCGAUACGGCGCAGCCGCCUACGGUAGGCAGCAGUGGGGAAUAGUGCAAUAUGGGCGCACGGCGGAUGCAGCGACGCCGCGUGGGGGGUGAAGGCCUUCGGGUUGUAAACUCCUUUCGGCCAUGACGAAGCCCUUGUGGUGACGGUAGUGGUAGAAGAAGCACCGGCUAACUACGUG
rnacentral:rRNA from 1 species